rnacentral:rRNA from 1 species
CCUACGGGAGGCAGCAGUGGGGAAUAUUGCACAAUGGGCGAAACCCUGAUGCAGCGACGCCGCGUGAGCGAGGAAGUAUUUCGGUAUGUAAAGCUCUUUCAGCAGGGACGUAAAAAGACGGUAGCUGACUAAGAAGCCUCGGCUAACUACGUGCCAGCAGCCGCGGUAAUACGUAGGGGGCGAGCGUUAUCCGGAUUUACUGGGUUUAAAGGGAGCGUAGACGGCAAGUCAAGCCAGAAGUGAAAGGGCAGGGCUCAACCCUGUACAUGCUUGUGGAACUGUGGUGCUAGAGUGCAGUUGAGGUAAGUGGAAUUCGUAGUGUAGCGGUGAAAUGCGUAGAUAUUAGGAGGAACACCGGUUGCGAAGGCAGCUUACUAAACUGUAACUGACGUUGAGGCUCGAAAGCGUGGGGAGCAAACAGGAUUAGAUACCCCUGUAGUC